GAGCCAUUAGCUCAGUUGGUAGAGCAUCUGACUUUUAAUCAGAGGGUCCGGGUUCGGCAGUUCGAAUCUGCCCCCCUCCACCA
rnacentral:tRNA from 1 species